GCUUACGGCCAUAUCAGCCUGGGUACGCCCGAUCUCGUCUGAUCUCGGAAGCUAAGCAGGGUCGGGCCUGGUUAGUACUUGGUUGGGAGACCGCCUGGGAAUACCAGGUGCUGUAAGCA
rnacentral:rRNA from 1 species